UUGAUCAUCGAUAUUUAUCCGAUUCAUUCAUUCAAUCAUCAUCAUCAUCAUCAUUGCAAUAUUUUUCGUUUCGUGCCUGUUAAAAUUGUGACGAAUUUUUCAUUUCAUUUCAUUUUUUUUUUUGUUAUUCUACUUCGUCCUUUCUUCUUCUUCUUCUUCUCAACGCUUCAUUCAUGAUCUUGUCUCUUUUUCAAUUCACAGCUUGUUACUAGUGACAUUUUGUUUAUUCGAUUUUGAUUUGAUUUACCAUUUACCAUCAUUUGAUCACCAUCAUUCAUCAUCAUAAUCAUCGUCAUCAUCGCAAGCAAACGAGCAACAAAUCGGUUUUUGUCUUGUCUUGUAUUGUUUUUUGUUUUGUUUUUUUUUCAAAACGAUCCAUAUAUUCAUUCAGUGUCGAUUCGUGUUUUUGUUGGUUCGAUCAAUAUCAAAUUUUUUUGAACUUUCAACGUUCAUUUUUUUCUGUGGGAAUUGGUUUUUUUCCGGUCACAACAACAA